UGCAAGUCGAGCGAUGAAAUUUUAACAGAACCCUUCGGGGCGAAGAUAAAAUGGAUUAGCGGCGGACGGGUGAGUAACACGUGAGUAACCUGCCUUAGACAUUGGGAUAGCCUCGGGAAACCGGGAUUAAUACCGAAUAACAUCACAUAGACACAUGUCCUUGUGAUCAAAACUCCGGUGGUCUAAGAUGGACUCGCGUCCCAUUAGCUAGUUGGUAAGGUAACGGCCUACCAAGGCGACGAUGGGUAGCCGGCCUGAGAGGGUGAACGGCCACAUUGGAACUGAGAAACGGUCCAAACUCCUACGGGAGGCAGCAGUGGGGAAUAUUGCACAAUGGGGGAAACCCUGAUGCAGCGACGCCGCGUGAACGAAGAAGGCUUUCGAGUCGUAAAGUUCUUUUAUAUGGGAAGAUAAUGACGGUACCAUAAGAAAAAGCCCCGGCUAACUACGUGCCAGCAGCCGCGGUAAUACGUAGGGGGCUAGCGUUGUCCGGAAUCACUGGGCGUAAAGGGUUCGCAGGCGGAAAUGCAAGUCAGGUGUAAAAGGCAGUAGCUUAACUACUGUAAGCAUUUGAAACUGC
rnacentral:rRNA from 1 species